rnacentral:rRNA from 1 species
CAAUAGCGUAUAUUAACGUUGUUGCAGUUAAAAAGCUCGUAGUUGGAUUUCUGGAGGGAGCGUCGGCCCGUAUUUACGAGUGCGUGACGUCUCUGUCCAUCCUUGCGGGAAGGCACGGCAUUGAUUUGUUGUGUCGGAUCGCAUCAUUUACUGUGAAAAAAUUAGAGUGUUCAAAGCAGGCUUUCGCUUGAAUACAUUAGCAUGGAAUAAUAAGAUAGGACUUUGGUGCUAUUUUGUUGGUUGAGCCUAAAGUAAUGAUUGAUAGGGAUAGUUGGGGGCACCUGUAUUGCGUUGUCAGAGGUGAAAUUCUUGGAUUUACGCAAGACAAACAGCUGCGAAAGCGUCUGCCAAGGAUGUUUUCAUUA